AUGCGGUUUGUGCGGCGCAUCCAGGAGUCUGAGGUGAAGGAGGCUUUAAAAAGGAUGAAAGGAGGCAAGGCGAUGGGCCCUGAUUGUAUCCCCAUUGAGGUGUGGAAAGGUCUCGGGGACAUAGCGAUAGUAUGGCUAACCAAGCUUUUCAACCUCAUUUUUCGGGCAAACAAGAUGCCAGAAGAAUGGAGACGGAGUAUAUUAGUACCAAUCUUCAAGAACAAGGGGGAUGUUCAGAGUUGUACUAAUUACCGUGGAAUUAAGUUGAUGAGCCAUACAAUGAAGCUAUGGGAGAGAGUCAUUGAGCACCGCUUAAGAAGAAUGACAAGCGUGAACAAAAAUCAGUUUGGUUUCAUGCCUGGGAGGUCGACCAUGGAAGCCAUUUUCUUGGUACGACAACUUAUGGAGAGAUAUAGGGAGCAUAAGAAGGACUUGCAUAUGGUGUUCAUUGACUUGGAGAAGGCCUAUGAUAAGAUACCGCGGAAUGUCAUGUGGUGGGCCUUGGAGAAACACAAAGUCCCAGCAAAGUACAUUACCCUCAUCAAGGACAUGUACAAUAAUGUUGUGACAAGUGUUCGAACAAGUGAUGUCGACACCGAUGACUUCCCGAUUAAGAUAGGACUGCAUCGGGGGUCAGCUUUGAGCCCUUAUCUUUUUGCAUUGGUGAUGGAUGAGGUCACAAGGGGUAUACAAGGAGAUAUCCCAUGGUGUAUGCUCUUUGUGGAUGAUGUGGUGCUAGUUGACGAUAGUCGGACGGGGGUAAAUAGGAAGUUAGAGUUAUGGAGACAAACCUUGGAAUCGAAAGGGUUUAGGCUUAGUAGAACUAAAACCGAGUACAUGAUGUGCGGUUUCAGUAGUACUAGCUGUGAGGAGGAGGAGGUUAGCCUUGAUGGCCAGGUGGUACCUCGAAGGACACCUUUCGGUAUUUGGGGUCAAUGUUGCAGGAGGAUGGGGGUAUUGAUGAAGAUGUGA
rnacentral:rRNA from 1 species